CUCACUUGAGCACAAUCCAAGAUGAAAGUUUCUGGGUUGUGUCCCCUUCGCUUCCUCUCACCCUCGCUCCCCCGCGGAGCCAAGGAGCCAGCAAUUGUGCAAGAGGAGACCGGCGCACAGGGCGCGUAUCACGGAGCGCAUGGUACGAGCCGCCGGCUCCGGUGAUUAAUUAUCAGUAACCGAUGGCCUCGCGCUACCACGUCGGCUUUCCCAGCAGAGCCAGCAAGCCGAACGCCUCCAGCACGGCCGGGACGGAGGAGCGGCUCUGGGGAAGACGCCGAGGCUGCGCCCGAGUCUGAACGAAGCUGCCUCCAGCCACAUGAAGUCAGUAGGGCUGUUCUGAGGGGCCCUGAGAUUUGAUGACUGUUUUUUAGGUUGCGGAACCUACUCCGAGAGCGCAAACACUUUGGACGAAGUGAUUCAUAUUGAUAGAUACAUUUGUUGGGUGGUGGCUUUUUUCAUUCUCAACAGAAAACAAAGAAAUAAAUUAAGUCUUCCCCUGA
rnacentral:antisense_RNA from 1 species